GUUGUUUGACAUAUCCUUUUAAAUAGAAACAGUUGUUUGCAUAAUCUAUUGUAUUAAAUUUUGUAAUAAAAAGCGCCUGGUUGAAUCAGUUUCAACCGAAUUUAUACCACACCUUACAAGGGUCAAGACAAACUUUUUCAAGGAACAAAUCAUGAAAACCAGCUUGAUUUUUGGAAUUUUUCUAAUUUUUUCCAUUCUUGCAACGAUGGAUGGCGCUCCACAGGGUGAUUGUUCCUGCACCCUUCGCUGCGCGGCUUACCACGCGGAAAGGAUUCAGUGUCUGUUAGACCAAAACCCACUUUGCUAUAUUGACACACUCCCGUCCGAUUGCGAAUGCAACAGAUUUGCCGGAUAAUUUCUAGAGAGAUCUAGAGAGAUUUCUAGAGAGAUUUCACAAGUUUAUAAUUUUGGCCCUGUAAUUUUAUCUAUGAAAUGCAUGAAUCAGAGCAACUAAACUUCAUUAAAACUUUUUUAUUUGUCCUUAGUUGUUACAGCUUAUUUAUAUAUCCAUAAUAUGUCCGUAAACAAUAAUUCUCCCUAUCAUAUUUUCCCAAAUUAAAAAAUAUAUGUACACCUAACUCAAAACCACAUGUAUGGAAUGGUCAUAUGUGUCUAUGUAAAAACCUUCGUCAGACAAUGGUCAUGAUUACAUAAAUUGUUUCCAGCC